UCCGUGCCGCAGUUAACACAAUAAGUAAUCCACCUGGGGAGUACGACCGCAAGGUUGAAACUCAAAGGAAUUGACGGGGGCCCGCACAAGCAGUGGAGUAUGUGGUUUAAUUCGAAGCAACGCGAAGAACCUUACCAGGUCUUGACAUCCCGUGCAUAGCUAAGAGAUUAGUGAAGUCCUUCGGGACACGGAGACAGGUGGUGCAUGGUUGUCGUCAGCUCGUGUCGUGAGAUGUUGGGUUAAGUCCCGCAACGAGCGCAACCCUUAUCGUUAGUUACUACGCAAGAGGACUCUAGCGAGACUGCCGUUGACAAAACGGAGGAAGGUGGGGAUGACGUCAAAUCAUCAUGCCCUUUAUGACCUGGGCUACACACGUACUACAAUGGCUAUUAACAGAGAGAAGCGAAGUANNGAGGCAGAGCAAACCUCAGAAAAAUAGUCUCAGUUCGGAUCGCAGGCUGCAACCCGCCUGCGUGAAGCCGGAAUUGCUAGUAAUCGCGGAUCAGCAUGCCGCGGUGAAUACGUUCCCGGGCCUUGACAC
rnacentral:rRNA from 1 species